CACGACUCUGUUCUCUCCUAAGAGCUUAACAGUUUUGAGGCCUCAUGCACAGAAAUGAAGGGUUAUGGAGCUGCAGUGGUGCUCAACCAACUGUCCUGGCAAAAUUAUUUAGGAGGUAAAAGAACAUUCCCCACAUUAGGAGCCAAAAAGCCAGGUACUGGUGCCAGUGGCAUAGGAAGUUACUGGAAACCAGGAAAAUACAUCAGGGAGCAAGCUCAAAGUAGACUGGACCAGGCUGAACCCAGCAGUCACAAGCUGGAUGGACACCCCAUGAGCACGUAUUGGACUCCAUGGCUGCACAUCCCUGCUGUAUGUUGUUUUCUCUGCCUUUUGUGUUUUAAGAAAAAAAACCCAAACAAAACCAAACAAAUAGAAUGUAGCCUGC